UAGAUCCAAGAAGCUUGAAUAUCAUCCAAGACACUUUGUGGGUCCUAUCUGGGUGAUCAGUCAACACAAGGGAAUGACUUGAGAUACUUCCAACAUGUUCAAAUGGGGUCUAUUCAUCAGUCAAAACGUUAAUCUUGAAGGAGCAAAAGUUUGUUCAUGAACUGUCAUGCUCGCUAGGCGAAGCCCACGCGUUUUAAAAAAAACGAAAAAAAAAAUAAAAAAAACGAAAAAAAAAAUAAAAAAUUUUAAAUAAUUAAAUAAAUAAAUAAAUAAAAUAUAACAGAAAAAUCUUGGACUUGGACCUCUCUCUUUUGAGCCCACAAAGUCACAAAAAUCAGGUUAUAAAUUCUAGACUUCCACCUCCCA
rnacentral:lncRNA from 1 species